UACGUAGGGAGCAAGCGUUGUCCGGAAUCAUUGGGCGUAAAGCGCGCGUAGGCGGCCUCAUAAGUCCGUUGUGAAAGUCAAAGGCUCAACCUUUGAAAGCCGAUGGAUACUGUGAGGCUAGAGUCCGGAAGAGGCGAGUGGAAUUCCUGGUGUAGCGGUGGAAUGCGCAGAUAUCAGGAGGAACACCGGUGGCGAAGGCGGCUCUGGACGUACUGACGCUGAGGAGCGAAAGCGUGGGGGAGCGAACAGGAUUAGAAC
rnacentral:rRNA from 1 species